UAGGGUAUCUUCGGCAAUGGGGGCAACCCUGACCGAGCAACGCCGCGUGAGUGAAGAAGGUUUUCGGAUCGUAAAGCUCUGUUGUAAGAGAAGAACGUGUGUGAGAGUGGAAAGUUCACACAGUGACGGUAACUUACCAGAAAGGGACGGCUAACUACGUGCCAGCAGCCGCGGUAAUACGUAGGUCCCGAGCGUUGUCCGGAUUUAUUGGGCGUAAAGCGAGCGCAGGCGGUUUAAUAAGUCUGAAGUUAAAGGCAGUGGCUUAACCAUUGUUCGCUUUGGAAACUGUUAAACUUGAGUGCAGAAGGGGAGAAUGGAAUUCCAUGUGUAGCGGUGAAAUACGUAGAUAUAUGGAGGAGCACCGGUGGCGAAAGCGGCUCUCUGGUCUGUAACUGACGCUGAGGCUCGAAAGCGUGGGGAGCAAACAGG
rnacentral:rRNA from 1 species